rnacentral:rRNA from 1 species
GACGAACGCUGGCGGCGUGCUUAACACAUGCAAGUCGAACGGAAAGGCCCUGCUUUUGUGGGGUGCUCGAGUGGCGAACGGGUGAGUAACACGUGAGUAACCUGCCCUUGACUUUGGGAUAACUUCAGGAAACUGGGGCUAAUACCGGAUAGGAGCUCCUGCUGCAUGGUGGGGGUUGGAAAGUUUCGGCGGUUGGGGAUGGACUCGCGGCUUAUCAGCUUGUUGGUGGGGUAGUGGCUUACCAAGGCUUUGACGGGUAGCCGGCCUGAGAGGGUGACCGGCCACAUUGGGACUGAGAUACGGCCCAGACUCCUACGGGAGGCAGCAGUGGGGAAUAAUGAAAAAUGGGCGGAAGCCUGAUGCAGCAACGCCGCGUGCGGGAUGACGGACUUCGGGUUGUAAACCGCUUUCGCCUGUGACGAAGCGUGAGUGACGGUAAUGGGUAAAGAAGCACCGGCUAACUACGUG